UACGUAGGGUGCGAGCGUUAAUCGGAAUUACUGGGCGUAAAGCGUGCGCAGGCGGUUUUGUAAGCCAGAUGUGAAAUCCCCGGGCUUAACCUGGGAAUGGCAUUUGGGACUGCAAGGCUGGAGUGCGGCAGAGGAGACUGGAAUUCCUGGUGUAGCAGUGAAAUGCGUAGAUAUCAGGAGGAACACCUGUGGUGUAGACAGCUUACUGGACCACUUCUGACGCUGAGACACGAAAGCGUGGGUAGCAAACAGG
rnacentral:rRNA from 1 species